CUGCUCUCUUCAGCAACACGCAGACUGAAAUGGGAACAAUACAGAAAAGAUGAGCAGGGCUCCUGCACAAGAUGACGCAUGAAUUCAUGAAACAUUCCAUAUUUUU
rnacentral:snRNA from 1 species